CCUAAUAGGUUUCGAGUAUAAACACAUACCCGGGCAUUCUUGUGAUACUUCAGUAACGAAACAAUAUGUUAUGGGCGUUGGCUUGGACAGUUUUGCUUCUCUUAGGCGGCGUACAAUACGUACAAAGUGAGAACACACCAAUAGCUUCUACGACACGAAGUUCUAAAGAAAGGGAUGGUCUGUUUCUGACACCCUUAAUUCAUAAGAAUGAAACUGAAAAAGCGAGGAACGAGAGCCGAGUGCCGCUAUUUGAAACUUUUGGAGUUGAUGCUUUCUCCGGCUACAUCACUAUAAACGAAACGACGAACAGCAAUCUGUUCUUUCUUCUCGUCGUGGCAAAGGGCAACAAGAGUGACGCUCCGCUACUGCUUUGGACCUCAAGGUGGUCCAGGUCUAUCUGCGCUGUUUGGACAGUUCCUUCAGAAUGGCCCUGUGGCGUUUGACUCCUCUAAAUACAACUUCACGCAAAGGAAUAACACGUUACAAAAUAACAUGAGCAUCAUUUACCUUGACUUACCUGUCGGGGCUGGCUUCAGCUUCACGGAAAACCCGACUGCUUAUCCCAAAACCCUGGAGGAUAUAAGCGACAGCGUCAUGAAAUUUCUAGAACAGUUCCUGAUGGUAUUUCCUGAAUAUACGUGUCGGGACUUUUACGUCGCUGGAGAGUCUUAUGGAGG